CUGCAGCUCAAGUGGUGACCGCUAUUAUUGGGCCUAAAACGUUCGUAGCCGGUUUGGUAAAUGUUUGGGUAAAUCGUGUAGCUUAACUAUACGAAUUCCGGAUAGACUGCCAAACUUGAGACCGGGAGAAGCUAGAGGUACUCCUGGGGUAGAGGUGAAAUUCUGUAAUCCUAGGGGGACCACCAGUGGCGAAGGCGUCUAGCUAGAACGGGUCUGACGGUGAGGAACGAAGCCCUGGGGCGCAAACCGGAUUAGAUACCCGCGUAGUCC
rnacentral:rRNA from 1 species